rnacentral:rRNA from 1 species
CGUGUAGGCGGUCAUGUAAGUCAGAUGUGAAAGCCUCCCGCUUAACGGGAGAAGUGCAUUUGAAACUGCAUGACUGGAGUACGGGAGAGGAGAGUGGAAUUCCCGGUGUAGAGGUGAAAUUCGUAGAUAUCGGGAGGAACACCAGUGGCGAAGGCGGCUCUCUGGCCUGAUACUGACGCUGAGACGCGAAAGCGUGGGGAGCAAACAGGAUUAGAUACCCUGGUAGUCCACGCCGUAAACGAUGGGCACUAGGUGUAGGAGGUAUUGACCCCUUCUGUGCCGAAGCUAACGCAUUAAGUGCCCCGCCUGGGGAGUACGGCCGCAAGGUUAAA